rnacentral:rRNA from 1 species
AAGCGGGGGAUCGCAAGACCUCGCGCGAUUGGAGCGGCCGAUGGCAGAUUAKGUAGUUGGUGGGGUAAAGGCUCACCAAGCCUGCGAUCUGUAGCUGGUCUGAGAGGACGACCAGCCACACUGGGACUGAGACACAGCCCAGACUCCUACGGGAGGCAGCAGUGGGGAAUUUUGGACAAUGGGCGCAAGCCUGAUCCAGCCAUUCCGCGUGCAGGAUGAAGGCCCUCGGGUUGUAAACUGCUUUUGUACGGAACGAAAAGGCUCUCUCUAAUACAGGGGGCUCAUGACGGUACCGUAAGAAUAAGCACCGGCUAACUACGUGCCAGCAGCCGCGGUAAUACGUAGGGUGCAAGCGUUAAUCGGAAUUACUGGGCGUAAAGCGUGCGCAGGCGGUGAUGUAAGACAGUUGUGAAAUCCCCGGGCUCAACCUGGGAACUGCAUCUGUGACUGGAGUGCCGCAAAAGGGGAUGGAAUUUC